rnacentral:rRNA from 1 species
AAUGAACGCUAGCUACAGGCUUAACACAUGCAAGUCGAGGGGUAACGAGAGGGACGCUUGCUUUCCUUGUCGACGACCGGCGCACGGGUGAGUAACGCGUAUCCAACCUGCCCCCAACUAGGGAAUAACCUUGCGAAAGUAAGACUAAUACCCUAUAAUUUCCUCAGAUGUCAUCUGACGAGGAAUAAAGAUUUAUCGGCUGUGGAUGGGGAUGCGUCUGAUUAGCUUGUUGGCGGGGUAACGGCCCACCAAGGCAACGAUCAGUAGGGGUUCUGAGAGGAAGGUCCCCCACAUUGGAACUGAGACACGGUCCAAACUCCUACGGGAGGCAGCAGUGAGGAAUAUUGGUCAAUGGGCGGAAGCCUGAACCAGCCAAGUAGCGUGCAGGAUGACGGCCCUAUGGGUUGUAAACUGCAUUUAUACAGGAAUAAAGUUAGCCACGUGUGGUUAUUUGUAGGUACUGUAUGAAUAAGGACCGGCUAAUUCCGUGCCAGCAGCCGCCGUAA